rnacentral:rRNA from 1 species
CGAGUAUGCAAUCUGCCUCUUACAGGGGAUAACACUGGGAAACUGGUACUAAUACCCCAUAACAUCAGAGAAGGCAUCUUCUUGGGUUAAAAGCUCCGGCGGUAAGAGAUGAGCAUGCGUUGUAUUAGUUAGUUGGCGAGGUAACGGCUCACCAAGACUACGAUACAUAGGGGGACUGAGAGGUUAGCCCCCCACACUGGUACUGAGACACGGACCAGACUCCUACGGGAGGCAGCAGUGAGGAAUAUUGGUCAAUGGACGCAAGUCUGAACCAGCCAUGCCGCGUGCAGGAUGACGGCUCUAUGAGUUGUAAACUGCUUUUAUACUAGGGUAAACUUAUCUACGUGUAGAUAACUGAAAGUAUAGUAUGAAUAAGGACCGGCUAACUCCGUGCCAGCAGCCGCGGUAAUACGGAGAAUCCAAGCGUUAUCCGGAUUUAUUGGGUUUAAAGGGUGCGUAGGCGGCUUUUUAAGUUAGAGGUGAAAUCCAGGGGCUCAACCCCUGAACUGCCUCUGAUACUGGAGAGCUAGCGAGUAGAUGCUGUUGGCGGAAUGUGUGGUGUAGCGGUGAAAUGCUUAGAGAUCACACAGAACACCGAUUGCGAAGGCAGCUGACAAAUCUAUUUCGGACGCUGAGGCACGAAAGCGUGGGGAGCAAACAGGAUUAGAUACCCUGGUAGUCCACGCCGUAAACGAUGAUAACUCGAUGUCGGCGAUACACAGCCGGUGUCCAAGCGAAAGCGAUAAGUUAUCCACCUGGGGAGUACG